AUUGAACGCUGGCGGCAGGCCUAACACAUGCAAGUCGAGCGGAUGAAGGGAGCUUGCUCCUGGAUUCAGCGGCGGACGGGUGAGUAAUGCCUAGGAAUCUGCCUGGUAGUGGGGGAUAACGUCCGGAAACGGGCGCUAAUACCGCAUACGUCCUGAGGGAGAAAGUGGGGGAUCUUCGGACCUCACGCUAUCAGAUGAGCCUAGGUCGGAUUAGCUAGUUGGUGGGGUAAAGGCCUACCAAGGCGACGAUCCGUAACUGGUCUGAGAGGAUGAUCAGUCACACUGGAACUGAGACACGGUCCAGACUCCUACGGGAGGCAGCAGUGGGGAAUAUUGGGCAAUGGGCGAAAGCCUGAUGCAGCCAUGCCGCGUGUGUGAAGAAGGUCUUCGGAUUGUAAAGCACUUUAAGUUGGGAGGAAGGGCAGUAAGUUAAUACCUUGCUGUUUUGACGUUACCAACAGAAUAAGCACCGGCUAACUUCGUG
rnacentral:rRNA from 1 species